rnacentral:rRNA from 1 species
UACGGGAGGCAGCAGUGGGGAAUAUUGCACAAUGGGCGAAAGCCUGAUGCAGCUAUGCCGCGUGUAUGAAGAAGGCCUUAGGGUUGUAAAGUACUUUCAUCGGGGAGGAAAAAACAAAACUAAUAAUUUUAUUUCUUGACGUUACCCGAAAAAGAAGCACCGGCUAACUCCGUGCCAGCAGCCGCGGUAAUACGGAGGGUGCUAGCGUUAAUCAGAAUUACUGGGCGUAAAGAGCACGUAGGUGGUUUUUUUAAGUCAGAUGUGAAAUCCCUGGGCUUUAACCUAGGAACUGCAUUUUGAAACUGAAAUACUAGAGUAUCGUAGAGGGAGGUAGAAUUCUAGGUGUAGCGGUGAAAUGCGUAGAUAUCUGGAGGAAUACCUGUGGCGAAAGCGGCCUCCUAAACGAAUACUGACACUGAGGUGCGAAAAGCGUGGGGAGCAAACAGGGAUUAGAUACC